UCUUAAAUACUAUCUUACCAAGUCAAACGUAAAUUUGGUAAGAAAUCAUUCUAUUACCUUCUUCACUAUAACACUAUGAGGAAAAAAUGUGGAUAUAUAUUAUUUUCAUCUUUGGCCAUAAAUGACUUUAUUGUAUAUUUGUAUUAGCUAGUAUAUAUAUAUAUAUAUAUAGACUAACAAAGAAGGAUUCAUAAAAAGUUGAGAAAAUACUAGAAAUGAAUAUCACUGUGAAAACUUUAGUCGCAUUUGUUUUUACAUUCUUCUUCAUCAUAUCUUGUGCUCAUUCUCAUACGACAGCCGCUAUUAUUCCAGAUCAGAUGGAUGUUCAAUGCUUCGAUGGAACAGAAACUUGUGACCGUGGAGGAAACAGAGGAUGCACCAUAUUUUGUAAAGGCCAUGAUUAUUUCUAUGGUUUGUGUACUACUGAUGCAUGUUGUUGUCAUAUUCAAAACAAAAAUAUGGGUUCAAGAUGAAUUAACCUAAUCAUAUGUACUAUAUGCUUGAAAGAUAAUAUCAUUAGAUAAUAUUUUGGUAUGUUUGAAA